rnacentral:piRNA from 1 species
GUUUAUCGGAGGGAAAUCACAGC